CAGAAUUCUGUAACUAAGGAGGAAGCACUCAGGCCAAAGAGAGGGCAACCUCAGGCUGCCUGUUGCGGCUGCCAUUCUGAGCACGGGACACCUUCAUGGCCCUUUUCACUGCUGGCUCUCUCCGAUCAGACCAUCCCACAGUAGCCUCAGAAACAGCCUCACAGACCUAGUGUGUGUGUUUCCAUGGUGAUGCUAGGUCCCUACAGGCUGGCCGUGAAGAUUCACCACAGCAAGGAGGUGCUAUGGAUACUCCAGAGUUGACUUAAGGCACGUGAGAGGAGUUCGUAGGGUACACGCAAACACCAGCCUCUUUACACCAGAGUCGUCCGAAUCUUCGGGGUCCUGGAAUCAGGACCUAGGAUCGAUUCUGAGGGACAGCUAUCCAUGAAAAAAAAUUUUUUCCUCCCACUCCAUCACAACAACCAAAUCCCUGUCCCAAGCACAGGUGAUGUUAUUAACCAUCAGGUGUUUGCGAGCUGGCUGAGUGGGCAAAGGUGCUUGCUGCCGUGUCUGAUGACCAGAGUUGGAUGCCCCAAGUCCCACAUGGAAGAAGGAGAGACUCAACUCCAGCAAACUGAUCUUUGACAUCCCCAUUAUCUCUGUGGCGUGUGUAAAUACACGUGCUCUUUCAAUAAAUAAGUAAAUAAUAAAAAGGAAUCCGAUAGCCAGUUCUACUGUGGAAGCCGGCUUCAGACCCCAUCUGUCUUGCUGUCCCCAGAGACUGUCUAUCUGUUGCCCACAUACAUUCCAGAGCAAGUGAACACCAAGGGUUUAAAUGUGGGCACAUUUUCUACUGCAAGGAAGGAAAGACGAGUAAAGGAGAUAAACCCUGAGCUGCAGCCCGCCCGACGUCUGCCUUCUUGCAAGGAACCUGUGGAACCGGACUCCCUCGUAGCCUGGGAAGGAGCACCACACAGGAAAGGGGCUGUGCAUUUCAACUAGUUCUACCCCCAGCUGUUAAGACACCGGGCAAGACGCCCAGGGAAACAAGGUUUUGCCUGUAAACUGAAAAGAAGAGCGUCGGGAGGAAAUACCAGGGAUAAUUUGAAGUGGGCAGCUGAAGAAAUCCAGGCUGUCAACACCUUCGAUGAAAAGAACUACUUGGAGUGCCACCGUGGGUCCACCCCCGAGUGGGGGGUGGGGAGGGGUGGGCUAUGGUUGGGAAGCUUUCUGGAGGCCUCAUGCUGGGACAUCAGGUGGCUCACCCCCAACAAGCUGAAACCGGAUAUUGCUGCCAAGUUCCUUGGAAGGCUCAACUUUGCUGCCCUUGAAAAUUUGUAUCUGUAAAAAGGCAGGGUGGGCCUGGUGUGAUGGCGCACGCCUUUAAUCCCAGGAUGCCAAACUUGUGGUUACACUAAUAAAAUCAUUGAAAGAUGGCAAACGGUACCCAGCAUCUGGGCCUAUGGCAUCCGGGACUGGAGGGGGCUGCUCUGUGCAUCCUGGAGGUUUUGCCCUCACCUGCAUCAGCCACAAGGCUGAGGAAGGCUUGAGAACCUUGUGGAAUUAUCUGUGGUAUCUUGAGCAUUAAUGAUGCAGGGGCCAACUAUAAUCAGCAGGCAUAGGAGAGCUAAGUUGGUUGACAGCAAGAAGAACCCAAGAAAGAAUUUCCUCUCUGUGAGAUGUUUUCGAAUUUCAGCCAAAUUAUCCUGAUAUCCCUGAGUGGUUUGCAUAGAAGCGGAUGAUUUCCCCCAAGGCUACAGUGACCUCCUUGUUCUGCACAAAGCAGGUUAAACACCCUACCAUGUUGUAAGACUACCUCAGCCAAGAGUCAACGAUUCUGUUAAUUUUGCAAUGGACUUUUCUCAUGCAAAUAAAUUUUAUAAAAUAAAUGCAAAUGGGUC
rnacentral:lncRNA from 1 species